GUGGGAGCCCGCUCAUUACACCGUUCUUACUUCCGAGAAAAGCUACUUAGAAUUAUACGGGGAAAACCCAAGAGCAUAGUAGACCGAAUUGUCGCUUUCCUUACAUCGGUUUUGUGUUCCCCUGGCCCUUACAAAAUAGAUCAUGACAAAAUAAAGCAUGGCUUAAUGUAAUACAUAGACCAGGCUACAAUCAAGUGAAUGGGCUGCACAAGAGAGAAGAUGUAAGGAAUUAUCACUUUCUAUUCCCUGAAUGUUGAAGAAAUAGAAGCAUUUAGGAUCCAGAUCCAAUUAUCACCUGCUCUAAGAAUGCUAUUUUUUUUUUGUCUUUUGCUUCCCUGAAAGGAAGUCUAGCACCACUUCUUUUGAAACACUGACAAAGAAUAUGUAAUCCAUAAAUGUUCCUGGAGUAUGUAAUCCAUAAAUCAGCAAAAGCUUUGAAGGAAAGGGGAAGAACUUAAGGUUGAUGAAAAUGCUUGACCAUCAAGCCACUGUAUGAAAAAAUCUUUGAAGACAGACCACUUCUAGAAGUAAUAAGAAAGUUCUGCUUCAUCGUACAGCCCUAGGAUUCUUUCUAGGAAUUGUAGCACUGUCCUAAGCAUUCUUAGUUUUCUUCUUAGUAAGUUUUUAUUCUUGUCCAUCCAUAGUGAUUUUGGAAGUUAUCCAUCCAUCCAACCAAAUACAAAAAAAUUUAAAAGGCAUGUUUUGUUGAAUAAGCCACAACUGCCCAAGUUUGCAAAAUAAAGCAUGAAUCAUUGUUUAUAAACUACAAUGACUGAGUUUACACCAGAUCUUUCCAUUUUACAGCCUGUGGAUGGUAAUUUAGGUGGUAUCUUCAAUGUAGAACUCUUUUCAAUUCAGCACUAACGUACGUACUGCAUGCAGUUCCUGAGCCACUGGGACUCAGCUACCAAAAUUUAACAGCAAAUCACCAGACACUGGUAAUAAUGUCUCUACAAUUUUCAGUGGAAAUAAAAACAAACAAAUAAUGUUUGGAUAGACUUAUUGUACCUUAAAUAGCUAAUUCAGAAACCUAAAAAAUGCAAUCUAAAAAAAUGUUCUACACGAUAGCAUUAGUUCACUCUCUACGCCCACCCAACAUCAAACAUAAUGAAAAAAUAUUUCCCCAGCUUCAAAAUGGUUGACUGUCCCUGCCAUGAUAAACAUACUGUACAUAUUAUAAUGUCUGGUUUCAAAUAUCACAGUAAAGCUUAGUGAAUAAGCCAAAAUCACAUUAUUGAAUGGAGAAGUAUUCAAGUUUUGGUAAUAUCUUUGUAAUUAUUCCUUGUUUAAUAAAAGCAACUUUCUAAAAUUGUUCUUUGGUUUGCUGUUAGAGAACCAAGAACCAGAAUAGAUAAAUAAUUCAUUUCUUCAGGACUGAAUGUAGAGCAAGAUGUUUUAUCUCCCCUCUCCUUACUAUUUAGUGUGCAUGUAAAAUUUAUUUAUUUCAGGGAUACAAGAAUUAUAACAUUUCUAACAAUUAAUCAGAAAUACAUCAGACAAAGAACCCCUAAUAAUAUAGCUAUUUUUGCUUAGCUAAAAUAGUAUAUACAAUUCAAAUAAAAUGACUGGGUAUUAUAAUAAUAAUGUUGGGAGAGAUUUUGCCACCAGGAUCAUCUGCUACUGAGUAUUGUAAAUGGCACCUUACCAGAAUUGGUAAAAUGUAUUUGGCAGAAACGUUCUGAACUUGAUCAGGACAGCUUUAAAUUGAAUUCCAGGAGGCCGGAAAUAAAAUCCCUGAACUAAGAGCUUCAUGUAUAGACUUUCACACUGUAGAAAGAUUAGGGAAUGUGGCUGUAAUGUUGUCUGUUAAGCCUCUUAGAGAAAAGCAGAAAGAAUAUUGGCUUCAUUGGCUUUAUUGUCUAAACACACUGAUAAGCAUAGGGGAAAUAAACUCGAUUUCCUGGCAAAGAAAACUAUAAUAUAUACUUAGAUUAACAUAGGUAAACUCUGCAAAGCAUGGAUCUUCUAGGAAAUUCCUAAUUUGUCUUGCUGACAUUUUUUUUAAUAAACUGGGAAGACUUACACAGUGUCUUUAUUUGUUGCUAGCCAUGGUACAAAAAUGCACUGUGAUGUCUUUUUCUGCUCUGACCUAAACGACACUACUGUCACUUCAGCCCAUGAAUGAGACAGGCACAAGUUAUCCUUAGCUAUACAGUGGUUAAAAAGCAAUGUUUGCCUCUGGAAUUGACAGCAUCUUGUAACAGCCGCAAGGUGUGUAAUAUCUGUUAAGCUUCUCCACUCAUAACACUCAAGGCAAAGUCACAUGGCCAAUAAUGGUGCUUACUGGCCAUUUCAGGCUGAUGCGAGUAUGUCACCUUUUCUUCAAGCCCUGGUUAGCCUGAUCUACUGUCGUUUUGCUCUUGUCUUUCUAAAGUGCUAAGCAUAGCAGUUUUGUGCCAGAGGCUAUCAAAACUGUUCUAACAGCAAACCACCCAACAGUUCUGUAAAUGAUUCUACAGCUUCACCAGGUUAGUGCAACACUGAACUAGAAUAAUGAAGAUGGGCCCAUCCCCCUGUUAUUUCCUGGCUAGAAUACAGAGGAACUUGGAAAUGGCUUUUGUUGCCCAUACAAAGAAAGAAAGACGAGAGAAAUAUUGCAUGGGACUCAUUUCCCUGAAAUUCAACCAGUUUAUAAUUUAUUCAGCUGGGAUUACAACAGAAUGGAGAUUAAGACAAGAGGAUGGAAUCUAGAGAUGAGCAGACAGAAUCCAGCAAUCACACCUUGUCCAGCUCUGCCGUAGUGCCGUGAUUAGGGAAUGCUUUUCUUCCUAGCUGGUUACGUGCAGAAGAGGGAGAACACUAAAAUCAGAGAAUUCAAUUGCUUUGCUUAUGCGACACGGCAUACACAAUAAAGAUGGCAACAUUUUCCAGUGAGUCAGGCGAUAGAGAUAGGCUGUGGGGGCAGCAAUUUUCAUAUUUUUCUAAUUUUCUGCCAAUUCAAGGAUGGUUGGAAAGCACUUUAAAUUGAAAAAAGUUAGAAAAGCCUUUAAAUAAUUCGAGGAAAAGUUGGGGGAAAAUGACAACAUGGUACUGGAAUUACCAAUUUUAAAGGAAACCAAAGUUGAGCAAACAUGUAGCUAGACUUUAAAAAAAACAAAAACUGGAUUCUGAUUUAUUUAUUCAUCUAUUUAGAAGAUUUAUAUGACCACCCAUCUUGAGCAACUGGGUAACUCACAAAGUAAAACCAAAUGAUAAAACAAUAAAAGCAGUGAAAAAAUGAAACAAAAACCUUGUGCUGUAAUUGCCCCCCUUGGGAUGCUCUACAGCAUGCUUAGCUGUCCUCCUUCCAUACUUUCUACCUAUAUAAUGGUGGCGCAGCAGUUAGAGUGCAGUACUGCAGGCCACUUUAGCUGACUGUGUUCAGCAGGUCAGCAGUUCAAAUCUCACCGGCUCA